AGUGGCGGACGGGUGAGUAACGCGUGGGUAACCUGCCUCAUACAGGGGGAUAACAGUUAGAAAUGACUGCUAAUACCGCAUAAGCGCACGAGGAUGCAUGUUCUUGUGUGAAAAACUCCGGUGGUAUGAGAUGGACCCGCGUCUGAUUAGCUAGUUGGAGGGGUAACGGCCCACCAAGGCGACGAUCAGUAGCCGACCUGAGAGGGUGACCGGCCACAUUGGGACUGAGACACGGCCCAAACUCCUACGGGAGGCAGCAGUGGGGAAUAUUGCACAAUGGGGGAAACCCUGAUGCAGCAACGCCGCGUGAGUGAAGAAGUAUUUCGGUAUGUAAAGCUCUAUCAGCAGGGAAGAAGAUGACGGUACCUGAGUAAGAAGCCCCGGCUAACUACGUGCCAGCAGCCGCGGUAAUACGUAGGGGGCAAGCGUUAUCCGGAUUUACUGGGUGUAAAGGGAGCGUAGACGGCUGCGCAAGUCUGAAGUGAAAGCCCGGGGCUCAACCCCGGGACUGCUUUGGAAACUGUGUAGCUAGAGUGCUGGAGAGGCAAGCGGAAUUCCUAGUGUAGCGGUGAAAUGCGUAGAUAUUAGGAAGAACACCAGUGGCGAAGGCGGCUUGCUGGACAGUAACUGACGUUGAGGCUCGAAAGCGUGGGGAGCAAACAGGAUUAGAUACCCUGGUA
rnacentral:rRNA from 1 species